rnacentral:rRNA from 1 species
AGUGAACGCUGGCGGUAGGCCUAACACAUGCAAGUCGAACGGCAGCACAGUAAGAGCUUGCUCUUACGGUUGGCGAGUGGCGGACGGGUGAGGAAUACAUCGGAAUCUACUUUUUCGUGGGGGAUAACGUAGGGAAACUUACGCUAAUACCGCAUACGACCUACGGGUGAAAGCAGGGGAUCUUCGGACCUUGCGCGAUUGAAUGAGCCGACGUCGGAUUAGCUAGUUGGCGUGGUAAAGGCCCACCAAGGCGACGAUCCGUAGCUGGUCUGAGAGGAUGAUCAGCCACACUGGGACUGAGACACGGUCCAGACUCCUACGGGAGGCAGCAGUGGGGAAUAUUGGACAAUGGGCGCAAGCCUGAUCCAGCAAUACCGCGUGGGUGAAGAAGGCCUUCGGGUUGUAAAGCCCUUUUGUUGGGAAAGAAAAGCAGCAGGUUAAUCCCCCGCUGUUCUGACGGUACCCAAAGAAUAAGCACCGGCUAACUUCGUG